AUUGAACGCUGGCGGCAGGCUUAACACAUGCAAGUCGAACGAGCGGCGGACGGGUGAGUAAUGUAUGGGGAUCUGCCUGAUGGAGGGGGAUAACUACUGGAAACGGUAGCUAAUACCGCAUACCAUCAGAUGAACCCAUAUGGGAUUAGCUGGUAGGUAAGGUAACGGCUCACCAAGCCGACGAUCUCUAGCUGGUCUGAGAGGAUGACCAGCCACACGGGGACGGAGACACGGCCCAGACUCCUACGGGAGGCAGCAGUGGGGAAUAUUGCGCAAUGGGGGCAACCCUGACGCAGCCAUGCCGCGUGAAUGAAGAAGGCCUUCGGGUUGUAAAGUUCUUUCGGUAGCGAGGCGUUAACUACAGAAGAAGCACCGGCUAACUCCGUGCCAGCAGCCGCGGUAAUAC
rnacentral:rRNA from 1 species